CACAGGAUUCCUGCUUCUGAUGGUUGCAGCCUCUCUUGCUGGUAGGAAGGGGCUGGAAACUUCACCCCUUCCACCCCAAUUGCCAGAAGAACAGAUUUCCAUUGUCUGAUGUGGCUGCUGACUGUUAAAGUGAGCUUGGAACACAUUUACAGGUCUUUUGGAAAGGGAUUGGAAGAUCCUGGGGUUUUCCUGUCAAGUGAUAAGAAAAAUGGCAAAAUGAAUCAUUCUUGCCUGCAGGGAUGACAUUUAUGUGGCUUUACAUCUCUUCCAAGGAGAAAAGCAUUUGACCAUGGUGACCUGAUGCCCUCCUUUUCCAGGACAUGUCCUGCAUUUCAUCCUUCUCUCCAGGAGGAAUUCCAAAAUGCCCUCCAUCUUGAGUAUGA